UGACUCGUGCGUGAUCACGUUAGU
rnacentral:siRNA from 1 species